rnacentral:snRNA from 1 species
UCACUUCAGCAGUGUGUGUACUAAUAUUGGAACAAUACAGAGAAGACUGGCAUGGCCCCUUUGCAAUGAUGACAUGUAAAUCCAUGAAGCAUUCUAUGGUUUA